CUGGAUUGGACUCCAGAUGAGUUAGAGGAACUGUUACCAGCGAAUAUAGAAAUUUUUGAGAGUCUGACCAUGACAGAGAAGCUAUAGUUGGAUAAGUCCUAAAACAAGCCUCUACAUUAAACCACACAGAUAAAUAAAGGUCUCAGAAAACCAGAUUAACUUUGUAUUCUACUUUGAAACAAAAGUUUUACUGCAAUAAAUAACACAAAUUCAAAUGCCAACUUAGACCGAGAUCUUGGCCACUCUGGAGAGUACCAUGAAGGAAUCAAUUGAGCUCUCAUUCAAGAUAGAUAAGGACUCAAUUCCAGACGUUACAGAAGAACUUACCAGGGUUCAACAACUCCAUGAAGAGUUUCUGAAAAGCAGCUGAAAAAGCUUUCUUUGAUCCCAGAACGGUCAUCAUGACAUGUUGGAUCUAGGGUUGUUCAAGAUGAGGGUGCCUUCACUGAGAAUGAAUUGUUUGCCACAAUUGUUUUUGUCAUUAUUGGUUUAAAGUGUUUUACAAUCAAUUUAAGUCUGAAAAAAUGUUUAGGAAAGAGAAAAAAAUAUUUUUUUCCUGAUGAAUAUAAAGAAGUAGUAGCCUUUUUCACAUUAGAUUCUGAUAGAAAAAUGUAAUACUGAUGAAGUGAGGGGAAAAAACGUAUGUACUAUUAUUCAAUCCAAUCAGCAAUAUUUUUGGUGUAAUUUUUAUUGUUCGUAAUUUAGGA